AUUCAAGAACCCUGAUAGAACUCUAUUCUCUCGAUCUUCCCUCUCAAAACCCUAGGGCCGCUUACGUAUUUUGUUCAGUUGAAGGGUUUUUGGUUCAGAUUUGUUCAUCAGUUUGAUGUUAAAUUCGAAUUUGAUCUUACAACCAUCUUCCUAUUUGUCAUUUUCUUUUGUUCUGAUUACGAUUUUCUUAUGAAUCCAUUUACAAUUACCACUAUGGAGAUUUACACCAUUAAAGUUUCAAGGGUUUUUCAUUUUUCCACAAGUUACACCAUUAAAGCUUCCAUCUUUUAUCACUCUAGGGUUUUAUGCUCAUCGCUUCUUCCAAUUUCUCACCUUUGUAUUCAGAAUUUGAGAUCCAGUUCAAUAGUAUGUAUAUUCUUUCGAUUCGUUCACUUUAGGGCUUAAUUCAAUUUCUUUGAUUUUUUUAUUGGUUUGAAUUUGUUUUAUGCAUGAGGUUGUUUUUUGAGCUUUUAGUAAUAUUAUUAGUAUUAAUAUUAGUUGUUAAAGAAAGUCAGACUUGAGCUUUAAUAGAGUUUUGGUGUUGAUCUGAGUGGAAAAUUGUGGGUUUAGGUUCAUUUAGUUUAGAAGUGGGAAAGUGAAUGUCUGGUUCAGGGAUGGAUUUUGGCCCGGAGAGCGGUGGCGCUGGCAUAAUUUUAACGCCGGCACGGUUUGUGUGGCCAUAUGGGUGAAGGAGUGUGUACUUAAGUGGCUCUUUUACAGGGAUAAGUAAGAGAACGCUUCCAACAAGGUUUGGGAAGCAUAGAGGAUUUGCUUUUGUCGAGUAUGUAAACCAAACAAGAGACGAAAAACGCCCUUCAAGCUCUCUCUAUCAAACACUAAUUUUUAUGGACACAAUCCGCUUCAUUCAUCUCUCAUUGCCGUCAUCCCUUUGAUUUGUUCCACACCAUUUGAUUUCAAAGUCGUAUAGAUUAUUUGUAUUGUGCCUACGAAGGUAACGGAGAAGAUGUUCAAACCUUCGCCGCUGGAGAUUCUUCACCACCGGCCGCUGCUAACGGCGGCGGUGCCACGGAAGAGUUCAGUGAUUCCAAGUCACAGCAACUUCGAGUGUGGUGUCGGCUCCCGAUGGGGCAGUGGGAACUGGGAAAUAUACAAUCAGCUGUUAACGGAAAAGCAUCUGUUACACUGUUGGACGGAACGGUCAUGACAGUGUCUACAGGAGAGCUGGUACCUGCAAAUUCUGAAAUCCUUGAUGGUGUGGAUAAUCUUGUCGCGCUCAUGGUUUAAAAAAACGGCCGAGGCGGUCGUAUUGAGGCGCGCCUCAGUUCGAAACGGAGAAAAAACGUAUAUGAGGCGGCGCCUCAGGGUCAGAAAUUAUACGCACGCCUCAGUGGAGUGAGGCGUAAGUUUCAGAUCUGAGGCGGAACGAUUUUGGAGAGGCGUACGUAUAUAUUUUGGGUUGGAUAAAGACGUAGACGCUUGUGGCUAUGCGCAAUCAAGAAAAAAUAGGGUAUAAUAGAGAUGGAGACAUACCUUACAGCGAUGGAUUACCAAGAAAAUUAGGGUAAAAGUAGAACAGAGGAGUUGAUGUUGAUGACGGCGAUAAAAGAAUAAAAGAGUGAUGUAACUUAUUAGGGUUACUGAAGAAAAUAACUAGAGCUUUAUUUAUUUCAUUUACAAAAACUUACAUAAACACCCUUAAACAUUAAACUUUUAUCAUAGUCAACCCAAAACUAUCUCACAAGUCUAUUUACAUUAGGAAAGUUAUGUAUUUUAUGUUUAGUAUUUUAUUUUUUAAAAGAUAUAUAAUUUUUAUAUUAAUUUUUUAAUUCCGCCUCGGGCUUACGCCUCGGUUCGUCUCGAGGCUUACGCCUCGUGAGGCGAAGGGAAAACGCCUCGAAACUCAUUUCCGUUUUUUUAAACCUUGGUCGCGCUUGGUUAUGUAAACGAGCCGUCAGUUCUAUGUAAUCUCCAGUAUAGAUAUAACCGCGAUGUAAUUUAUACUAUGGCGGGGCCCGUUCUGUUAGUGAUCAACCCCUUUAAAGAUGCCUUGAUUAUUGGAAGUGACGUUAUCACAGCUUACAAAAAGAAGAUUUUGGAUAGCCCGCACGUAUAUUAGGUCGCUGACACUGCCUAUAGUGAUAUGAUGAGAGGUGAGACGGUCUAAAUCGGUCUAUUAUUAUCAGUGGGGAAAGUGGAUCGGGAAAGUGGAUCGGGAAAGAGUGUAACGGCAAAAUUAGCGAUAGAGUAUUUGGUAGAAGUUGGCAGUGACAAUAGUGAGAUAGCAUGCAGAAUACGUGAAUCAGGAUAUUUAUACUGGAAGCUUUCGGGAAUGCAAAAACGUCAAGAAACAAAAAUUCUAGCCGAUAUGGAAAAUUAAUUGAUUUUAAUUACAAUGCAAAGGGUAUGCUUCACGGGGCUUGUAUCCAUACACUUCUUCUUGAAAAGUCGAGGAUAUCGCAACUCAGUCGCAGUGAAAGGUCAUACCAUGUCUUUUAUCAAUUGUGUGCUGGGGCGUCCUCUGAUAUGAGAGAGCAAUGUCGGUUGCAGAGCAUGUAAAAUGACGUGUCAUCCGACGUGGCAGAGCAAUGCCGGUUGCAGAGUCUUGAAAAAGCUAUGUUCAUUCAGUGGCUUUGCUUUACACCUCCCUCCACCAUUAAUGAUGCUACCAGAGUUGGCUCAAAACUGCUGAACCGAGAAUUGAUGCACAGUUAAAAGAAAGAGAUGAGAAGCUUGAAUAUCACAAACAAAGAGAGCAGAAAUUCACGGAGAAGAAGAAUGAGAAGGAGCUACUGCGUCGCCAAAGUUCUGUAUGGAUUGAUGAAAAUGAACUCGAGAAAAAGAUAUUGAAUGCCAUUAUGGAUGAGUCUUAAGAGAGAACUCAAUUUACUAAGAGAAAGGCUUUGGUAACUCGAAGGAUAUGCAUCUUCAAAAGGACUCGACUAUCUUUAAAUUGUAUAUCCACUCUAUCACUAAUUUAUGCAACAUCGGACUUUGUAUUUUAUUUUAUUUAUGCACUUGAUAUUUAUUUUAA